CUGUAGCAAGGCGAUAUGAUCCUACGAUACCAACAGCCCGUGAUACAGUCGCGCAAAUACACAGGCUUAGUACAAGCGGGAAAAUAUCAAAACGCACAACCGCAGCUGAAACGGAGAGCCAUCAAUUCGCAGCAGCAGAUGACGCUGUAGCAAGGCGAUAUGAUCCUACGAUACCAACAGCCCGUGAUACAGUCGCGCAAAUACACAGGCUUAGUACAAGCGGGAAAAUAUCAAAACGCACAACCGCAGCUGAAACGGAGAGCCAUCAAUUCGCAGCAGCAGAUGACGCUGUAGCAAGGCGAUAUGAUCCUACGAUACCAACAGUCAGUGAUACAGUCGCGCAAAUACACAGGCUUAGUACAAGCGGGAAAAUAUCAAAACGCACAACCGCCGCUGAAACGGAAAGCCAUCAAUUCGCAGCAGCAGGUGUGUAAUCA